GCCUUCGUAGUGUAGUGGUCAGCACACUUGGCGCGUAUUCGAGAGGUCUCUGGUUCAAGUCCCGGCGAGGGCA
rfam:Stegodyphus mimosarum contig113960, whole genome shotgun sequence.